UAACACGUGGGUAACCUGCCCAAGAGACUGGGAUAACACCUGGAAACAGAUGCUAAUACCGGAUAACAACACUAGACGCAUGUCUAGAGUUUAAAAGAUGGUUCUGCUAUCACUCUUGGAUGGACCUGCGGUGCAUUAGCUAGUUGGUAAGGUAACGGCUUACCAAGGCAAUGAUGCGUAGCCGAGUUUAGAGACUGAUCGGCCACAUUGGGACUGAGACACGGUCCAAACUCCUACGGGAGGCAGCAGCC
rnacentral:rRNA from 1 species